rnacentral:misc_RNA from 1 species
AGUAUAUAAACAUCAUCAUCCCUAACUUUGUACCUCGUCUUCGCUUGGGUUUCUUUGAACUUUACAUUCGAGUCAGCAUUUACAGGAGCUGGGAACUUUGAAACGCUAUAUUCAUCUUGAGUUAUUAUAGUGCUCGAAAAAUCAAACUCAUUAAGUAUCAUGUUUUUCUCAUCUUGGAGUCUGGCAUGCUUAUUCUUGGAUCCUUUGUUAAUGUUUUUCAACAGUGCUGGAUUCACACUUCGAUCUCUCUGUGGAACAUAGCCUU